AGAGUUUGAUCCUGGCUCAGGACGAACGCUGGCGGCACGCUUAACACAUGCAAGUCGAACGAGAGAAGAGGAGCUUGCUUUUCUGAUCUAGUGGCGGACGGGUGAGUAACACGUGAGCAAUCUGCCUUUCAGAGGGGGAUACCGAUUGGAAACGAUCGUUAAUACCGCAUAACAUAAUUGAACCGCAUGAUUUGAUUAUCAAAGAUUUAUCGCUGAAAGAUGAGCUCGCGUCUGAUUAGCUAGUUGGUAAGGUAACGGCUUACCAAGGCGACGAUCAGUAGCCGGACUGAGAGGUUGAUCGGCCACAUUGGGACUGAGACACGGCCCAGACUCCUACGGGAGGCAGCAGUGGGGAAUAUUGCACAAUGGAGGAAACUCUGAUGCAGCGAUGCCGCGUGAGGGAAGAAGGUUUUAGGAUUGUAAACCUCUGUCUUCAGGGACGAAAAAAGACGGUACCUGAGGAGGAAGCUCCGGCUAACUACGUGCCAGCAGCCGCGGUAAUACGUAGGGAGCGAGCGUUGUCCGGAAUUACUGGGUGUAAAGGGAGCGUAGGCUGGAUCGCAAGUCAGAUGUGAAAACUAUGGGCUUAACCCAUAAACUGCAUUUGAAACUGUGGUUCUUGAGUGAAGUAGAGGUAAGCGGAAUUCCUAGUGUAGCGGUGAAAUGCGUAGAUAUUAGGAGGAACAUCAGUGGCGAAGGCGGCUUACUGGGCUUUAACUGACGCUGAGGCUCGAAAGCGUGGGGAGCAAACAGGAUUAGAUACCCUGGUAGUCCACGCCGUAAACGAUGAUUACUAGGUGUGGGGGGACUGACCCCUUCCGUGCCGCAGCAAACGCAAUAAGUAAUCCACCUGGGGAGUACGACCGCAAGGUUGAAACUCAAAGGAAUUGACGGGGGCCCGCACAAGCAGUGGAGUAUGUGGAUUAAUUCGAAGCAACGCGAAGAACCUUACCAGGUCUUGACAUCGUAUGCAUAGCUCAGAGAUGAGUGAAAUCUCUUCGGAGACAUAUAGACAGGUGGUGCAUGGUUGUCGUCAGCUCGUGUCGUGAGAUGUUGGGUUAAGUCCCGCAACGAGCGCAACCCUUACUGUUAGUUGCUACGCAAGAGCACUCUAGCAGGACUGCCGUUGACAAAACGGAGGAAGGUGGGGAUGACGUCAAAUCAUCAUGCCCCUUAUGACCUGGGCCUCACACGUACUACAAUGGCUGUCAACAGAGGGAAGCAAAGCCGCGAGGUGGAGCGAACCCCUAAAAGCAGUCUUAGUUCGGAUUGUAGGCUGCAACCCGCCUACAUGAAGUCGGAAUUGCUAGUAAUCGCAGAUCAGCAUGCUGCGGUGAAUACGUCC
rnacentral:rRNA from 1 species